rnacentral:lncRNA from 1 species
CACCCCCCUCCUUCUCACCUCCCCUCCCCCCCACCCCCCGCGGCCGGUCGCUAACGCGCGCUCAUUAACGGCGUUAAUUAGGCGGGCUGCUGCUGUGCCUGCCCCGCGAGCAGGCGGCGCGCUUCUGCUCGGAGCUCCGCGCCCGGACCGGCGGCCGCCCGGCGUGGAUCGUCGGCAUCGUGGAACGCGGCGCCCGCGGGGCGCGGGUCAUUGAGAAGCCGCGGCUCAUCGAGGUGCCCCCCCGGAACCCCCCGCUAAUUAAUCCGCUCAUUAACGGGCUCUCGUUAACGACACAGUUCCUACCGAUAUGUUCGCUGAUCGAAGUGCCCCCCCCCCCACCUCCUCCCGGAGCCCCUAAUUAGUUCAUUAGGGGGCACUCAUUAAACCCCCACCCCCCCUCUCCAGGACCUCCAGGGCCCCCGCUAAUUAGUUAAUUAAUGGGCUUUCAUUAAUCCCACAGGUCAUACAGAUGCACUCACUGAUUGAAGUGCCCCCCCCCUUCCCCCCAGAGCCCCCAAUUAACUCAUUAACGGGCUCUCAUUAAUCCCACAGGUCAGACAGAUACACCGAUUGAGGUGCCCCCCCCACAGCCCCCAAUUAAUUAAUGGGCUCUCAUUAACCCCCCCCCCCCACCACACACACACUGGGCUAAUAGAGGUACCCCCCCAGAGCCCCUAAUUAGCGGGGGCUCAUUAACCCCCCCCAGAGCUCCUAAUUAACAGGGGCUCCUUAAUUCCCCCUGCGCUGCCCACAGAGUGACGCCCCCCCCGAAACCCCCCCUGAGGAGUGGGGGAGGGGCUGAGGACCCCCCGGGCGGCGCGUGGGAAAGAAGGGGGAUUUGGGGGCAAUAAACGGCCAUUUGGGGGUCA